UGUCUCUGUAUUUAGGUCUAAUAAGUAAAGAAAGGAUUUUCUGUGACAGUCCAAAGUUUUGUACAUGCUUAAAAUAUGAGCUAGCAGAAACUCUGAGUAAGCUUUGCAAGGUGGAUUGGGGCACUAAAGAAAGGAGAAGAUAGGAACUCUAGCUGAGUCAUAUUAAUAGCAGCUCACUAAAGAUUCAAAAACUGCUGAUGCGGAGGCACAGAAAGCUGCCAUAACUCCGGAAUUACCUUUCAACUCCAAUAUCCCAUAGCCCCAGGCUGUAAGCAUUUUCUUUCAAUGUCCCAAGAUACAUAUCCCAUACUUCUUGCAAUGUACAUAUAUAUCUUAACUGGCACAAAUGGGUCUCUGAAUUAUUCACGAAACUUAGUUUAUUGAAGACAGAGUCCAAAGCUUUUUCCAUUAUACCUAAUAAGCUUAUGCCAGGAACAACAGAUGUCACAUUUGAAAGACAAGUUGGUAGUGCGUACAUCUCUAACUGAUUUUCAGUCUGCAGUGAGACUUGUAAGCAAAACUGGGCUGAUCUGGUGGAACUCUGGUACCAAAUAUCCAUCUCCUUCCUACCUACGUAACUACUUCUCAGUUUCUUUGUUUCCAACAUAAUCCUGAAAUAUAUUAAUUACAAUAUUUUCCAUAGUUAAUUAUAUGGAGGGAAUUCCUUCAAACUUCUAUCAAAUUACUUCAGUCAUGGAGAAACUUCAUUAGCUCACCUGCUCUUUGUAUGGACUUCAAUUUGCAGAGCUUUUUAGAACCAGGACCGCUGAUCUAAUGGACCAGACAUGUGCUUUUAGUGUGUAUGAAUCCAGAUACAUAUUAUGUGUUAGUGGUUUCUGGAAUCCUCCCAGAAAUAAAGGUGCAGGUUUGAGAUUGAGUGCACAGUGAUUCUCAAAACAUGUUUUACUGCCCUGAUGCUUUUUUAAAUGAACAUGUUCAGAUUAUUUUUAUCUCUUUAGUUAUAUUAUAACAUACCUAGUUUGUAGUAAAGAAGUAUCUUUUAGUAUAAAAAUGGAAGCAUAACUUCUUUUAUUAUUCUCCAGUAUAUUUCAGAUUUUAAAUUGAAUGGUUUAUGUCAGAGGUUAACAAUAUGGGGUCUUAGAUUAAAACAAGCCCUGUGUAAUCUUAUUGAGCCAGUAGGUCACAAAAAUAAGAGAAAAUGUGUUUGAAUCACAGGAGAGAAGGGAUGUUGGAUGGAUCUGUGAAAUAUUUCAUGUUGUAGUAUCAGCUGAUUGAUAGCAGUGAUUCUCAGAAGGGUUCCAAUAUUAUGCCUUUUAAAAGCUGGAGAUUAGUGCAACCAUGGUGAACAGCACAACACUCUGGCAAAGAAAAAGGGUCAGGGCUGGCAAAAUGUGGCAGGUGUCAAAAUAAAAGGUUAGGCUCUGUGCCUGGGGACCCAUCUGUCAGAUAUAAGUAUGAUAAGCAAUUAAUGUAUUUAUUUACAUUGCUCAUGAAAAACCAUGUAUUCCAUAAAAGUGGUCAAUUUAAAUACCUUCCACUGUUCGCUAGAAAUUAGAAUAUAAAAAUAAAAUGUUCAAGACAAAAAGUAAGGAAUAAUAAUGAAAUGGUUUGUUUCUAUAAAUAAGUAAAGGUUUGAAGAAUUCUAGUAGUCUGCAUUGAAGGAUUAAAUCCAGUAAAUAUAACAUUUUAACAAUAGAGUGGUGAUAUUAAGGAUCUACAAAAUCAAUGUUUAUUUUGCAGGAUAAUUUUGGUAGCAUUCCUUGUAAGUUCAGGAUGCUUUAUACUCAUUAGUCUAGAUUUCAUAAUUGAAUAAUGCAACAAAGCCCAGAAAAAUUAUGAGGGAAUAGAAAUUUAGAAAUCUAAUAUAUGUCUUACAUUUUCUUUAAAUGUUUUGUUCACAACCUUGUCAUUAUUAGAGCUUUCAUUUGCACUUUGUGACUAAUCCCGACUCCUCUUUAUUUAUUAUUUAUUUAGCUUUCUCACUACUUCUGCUUUCCAAUCUGUUUAAACUAGAUUAUGUUUAUAUUUAACAUUCACCAGUGAGACUUUUUUUUACAGAUAAAAUACAUUAUAACUUUUAAAUCAUAAUCAUAAGCUUUUAAAAUGUUACUUUAUUUCACUGGUCAGUAAAAAUCUAACCCAGAAUAUGAGUAAAAUCAGACUUACUAAAAUUUUAUGGAUAAACCGACCUCCCCCCAUAUUUUUCCCUGAAUAAAGUUAAAGCUCUAUAUUAUGUUUUAGUAAGUGAAACUCACACCUUAUGGUAAUACCAAAAUUUGAAGAGAAACGACAUGUAAGUCUAUACUGUAAAAUGUUAUACGGAGGGAAAAUUCAAGUUCCUUCAUUGUAGGUAGGGGGAGAAAUGCCAAUAUGACUAUGUUAUUGCAAGUUGCACAUCCUGUCUGCUAAGUGAUGAAAUUAAACAAGCAAAGCCACUGGAAUAGUAAAGAGAAUCAUUUGGCUUUGGAAAGAACAGAGGUAUUAUGUUCAAUAGAUUUAUUUUCUUAUUGUUGAAGCAAUGUAUAUGCCAUCAGUAUGUUCCAUUUAUUGGAAAGAUACUGGUUAAACUUUAAGUCAUUGAUUCUUCUCUCCAGAAUUCGCUUCUAGCUCUGAUAUCAUUAGAGUCUUAAACUAUCUGCUAUUUUUACUAUCAAACUUGGCUUCCCAUGGUAUAACAGCAAUGUUAGAGUAGGAGUUGAGGAAGGAAAUCUAAAUUAAAAAAAGAUACAAACUUUAAACUUUGUUGUAUGUUCCAUUUAAUGGUCUGAUAUAUGAUUUACAAAUUAUGUUUGAAAUUUAAUUAUAAUUAACUGUUACUUAAAGUCAAAUUAAUUCAUGGCUUUAUUUCCUGAUUGAAUUCAAUGUUUUUCCUACUGCCAAUUUUAUUUCAUUUGAACCUCAGUCAUCUAAGUUAGCUCUGUUUCUUAUCUAUUUACUUUCAUUUGAUUGAAUGCCCUUGAAGAAAAUGUAUCAGGCCAAAAAAAAAUAAUAUAUAUAUAAUUCCUUAUUUGCCAUUCUAUACAACUCUUCAAGAUCCUAGGAUAUGCUACAUAAUAAAAAUAAUAACUUCAACAGAAAGUCAAGAUGUCACUGAAUUUUGCCAGAGAGACACAAGAAUAAUACAUCAAACAGAAGAAGUAUAUGAGAACAAUUUUGCUGGGUAUAUAUUUACUUCAAUUCAACCAUUUGGAGAAAUAAUGAAAAUUCUGAUGAGUUUUAAAACUCAUAGUACAAAUAUGCAUUGAUCUAUCACCACAGGGGCAUGUGAUGUAAUUGUGGCCAAUGAGAUACAAGCCAACAUCUUCUAGAUUUUUUCCACUCUUCAGACAAAAGGAAGAGAUGUCUUUCAUCCAACCUUUGAACAGUCUUACGAGAAGCUGUUUGAAGCUGCUGUAGCCAUCUUGUAAGGCUGGAGAGAAUAUCAGACAUUCUAAGGAAGACAGAGAAGACAGUCUCGGAACCAACCCUGUACCACCCUACUUUUAUUUAAAGUUCUUGAUAUGUGACAUAAUAAAUUUUCCUUAUUGUUU